rnacentral:siRNA from 1 species
UUGAUGAAUGACAAGUGUCUU